rnacentral:lncRNA from 1 species
UGUCGAUGGUCAUUGAGUGGACACACUUCUCCAGUUUGUUCUCUGAAACUGGAUCCAACGGGAGCGAUAUGUCUCUCUAGAGAUUCAGAAUGCAGAGAUAGAUCUAUAAGAAUUUGGGACUUGAAUAAAGGUGACUUGAUAGCUGUAUAUACCCCCGAAUCCAAAAUCACCGCCUGCGAAAUAUCUUCUAACGGGAGGUUCGUCGUUCUCGCCUUGGAAGGGUGCAAAGACCUAGUAACCCUUCAGCUGAAGGGGCCAAACGUUCCCGACACGCCCGAAACCGAAACGUACGGAGACGAAGAAAAUGCGGGCAAAAGCUUCAACUUGCAAGACUGUUGCUGACCAGGGUCUAUUACUUUUUGCGAUUAAACUAAACCCCUCAAUUUUACUAGUGUAGUGAUUUGAAGGAGGAUAUCUUAAGAAUACCAAACCCAAGUAGGUUAUCCCGUGAGAAAAAAGAUAAGAAGAAAUUGGCUGAAGACAGUAUGUUUACGGAAAGUCAAUAGCGAUAGAAACAGUAGGUUCAGAGAGAUUCAUAAUGGAAAUUUUACAUGUUGAUUGGAAAUUUGUGUUGAAGAAAAUUAAGUUGUUAUUUUUUUUUCUGUAUAGAAGCAGGACAUCCACCGUCUAUCAUAUCAAAAAAAGAGGAAACUGUUUUUUCAAGGGAGACAGAAACUCUUAUUCAGAAUGAUGUUUUUCGCUUUCUUUUCGAAUUGAACUUCUAUUCCACUUUGUAAGUAAUUUUCCUGUUUUUAUUUUCAUUUUAGAAAAGUUUUAUAGACCCAUCACCUCAGUAUACUUUUCUUUGUCAAAGAGGAACUCUCAAAGUAUCACUCAAACUAAUGAAACUACGAAUGUUGAAUUCUAGUACUCCUUUGAAUCAUAAUCAAUAAACACUGGGUGCAUUUUUCAGGCUAACAGGCAUUUGUAAGUUUAGGUACAUUACACAUAGUAAAUUCGAAAUAUUUUCUCUAGAUUUGGUGGUGAUCUUUUUUAAGGAAAGAUAUGAUUGGACGAUCUCAACAAUAUAUAAGAAUUGUUCGUAAAUGCAAAGUAAUAAACAAAAAAAUGAAAUUUUUGGAAACAGACUAAACUUGUCACAUACAAAAUAAACUGAAUUCCAUCAACAUCGACAUUGAAGUGAGAAAGUAAUAAAACAUUACAUAUGAGUUAUUCUUCUCUGACUCUCUAUCCCUAUCGAGAUGAUUUCACUUUGAAAUGAUGACCCAUCCCUAUAUUGAUUAGUAAAACAGAAUUGCAUGGAAGUGGAUAAAGAGUGAAGUAUAUAUCCAUUAAGAAAUUCUCACUGAACCUUUUGUCAAAUUAUUUGACUAAAUUGUCUAGAGAAAAAUCCGUUUAAUUUGCUUGCAUCAUCUUACUAAAAAAACUCUCAUCAGCUUCAUAUACUGAAUUAUUGCACCAACAAGUUGCACAUGAAAGAACUCCUCAGAACACAAUUUCAGUUCAAUAAAAUAUGUGAUGGAAUUGGCCACUAUUCGAAAAACCAUAACGUAAUCAAGAAAAACGUAUUGUGAGAUUUUCACUAAACAGUUUAAAAAAUCGCAACACGUGUAAGUAUUAACACGCCUGAGGAUACUAUUGUGUAGCGAAACACGUAUUGCGGUUUUGAUAACUGUUAAUUGAAAAUCUCACAAUGGAUAUUUGAAUCAGUUCAAUGAGAGACUAGAAACAGUUAAUGUGGGAAUCUAUAUGUUUUCAAAAAGGUAUAUCGAUCGGUAAAUAUGUCGUUAUUCGAAUACAGUCAUAACUCAGAUGUUCUAUAAAUUUUGUUAGUUGAAUGAUAGAAAGAAUAGGGCAUUCAAUACUGCGAAAAAACCAUCAGUAUAGAAUAUUUGCAAGUAAAAACCAUCAAUAUGUUUUAAAGAGCCUCUGUUCAAUGGUCGAAAGAAUUUAUCUACAGUUCCUUCGAUUAUUCACAUUUUUUUAUAAAACAUUCAGUGUUCUGCCCUGUUUUCACUUUUGUGGGAAGCAAUUUGAUAUACUACAAGGUGAUUAAUAAUAGGCGGGCAAUUUUUAACCUAUUACAAUAUCAGAAAUAUUUUGUGGAGAAGAAGAAAGUCAAAAUUAUACAACAUAAAAGAAAUACUUCAGAUGUAUAUCAAUCCGCUAAUUGAUAUAAGCAUAAGCUCAUUCUGUGAUGAUUUUUGCUUGUCAGUAGUCAGGAGAAAAAUAUUUAUGAAAAAUCGAAAGAGCACAAGUAAUGGCAUUUGUUUGACGCUAAAAUGAUGCAAGCAACUCCACUACUUCUUUCACUCAAUUGUCAUUCUUCAUCUAAAUAGAACUAAGAAUGUAGUGGUCUGUGCUGGUUUCAGAUCUAUUAGAUAAUUUCAUUCGAUGUGAGAUAAAUGAAAUAUUGUUCCUUCGGAAAAUCCAGAAUGAAAAUAGACGGUUAUCUGUGCUGGUUUCAGAUAAAACUGUUUUCAUUAUUACCGAGUUUCAAACAUUUUCUAGAAAUGAUUAUCACAUAAAUAUUUCAAGUCGGGAAAUAGUUGAAAUGUCAGUUGAAGGAACAAUAUCUCAUUAUCUACAUUUCCUUCUAAAAUGCAUGAACAAACAAAAUUAAUGGAAAGAGGGUUAUGUACUUGAUUGUGAAUUCAUUUGAUUGCAAAAUAUAUUCAGUAUGAAUAAGUGAUGACUGAGAUUCACUAAAAGCCACAUUCAAAACGGCAUAUUCGAAACUAAUAUUUGUAAUGCAGAUGGGUAAAUCAAUUUUAGUUAUUUUGUAGAUACAAGACUUAUUCAUACUUUGGGAAAGCCUACCUAUUGGCACAAUUGUGUUUUUUGCAGCAAUGAUCAAUGAAUACACGAAUAUAUUUACAAUUGUAGAAAUAUCCCAAAUUCAUUCUUCAAUGUUGAUUUCAAAUCGUUUCUGUUUUGCAGCGAUACGUUUUGAACAUAUAUAUAAAGUUUUUUCCCCAAUGGAAUAACCUAUUCGACAGCUGUUACCUAAUGUUUAGUGUAACAUCUCCUUGAUACUUUGAUCAAAAAUAUGAAAUAUAUUCCCAUCUGGUAUGCGGAACAAUAUUGAUUUAUUGAAAUAUUAUAUUUAUAUGUUGUGAUUCUUGUGUAAAAAUAAAUGUAAUAAAAUUAUG